UCAAGCGACAUAUCAAGCCACAUAUCAGAUAAUAUAACCAACAUUUUUAACCAUUAUAAAUCGCUACCUAUUCAAAAAAAUGCACACAUAUGUAAUGACUAUACCGCAAACAAUAACAACAAUUAUAACGUCGUAUCGAACAAUUCUUUUUAUAAAUGCGUAAAAAAUAAUUUAUUCGAAUUUUUACCAAAUAAAAUUGAAGAGGAUGAUUAUUAUAUAUAUAACAAAAAUAUACAUAAUCCUAUGUUUGUAGCAUGCGAAAUAUAUGGAACACCUUCCCCAUUAGGUCCUCCCGUAGUAACAUUUCAAGACGACGAUGUAGGUGAUGACUGUAAAACCAAAAAUGACAGUAAUAUAAAUAAAAAAAAAAAAAAGUAUAAAAUUUGCUGAUGAUAGUAGUAAUGACAAUAAUAACGUAUCAAAUAAUUUUAGUAGUCCAGAAAAAGAAAAAAAGAAAAAAAUAUCAUUUGUUAUUGAAGAAAAACCAUCUAUUAAUUUAGAAAAAAAAAAACCAAGAACUCGAAAAGCUACAGGGUAUAUAAAAGUGGAUGUUAAAAAAUUACUCGAAGAGAUAGGAAGUGAUAUAGAGGAUGAUUCAAAACAAUCGGAAACAAAAACAGAUAGUAAUAAUGGCGAUGAAGAUGAUGAUAAUGAUGAUGAUGAUGAUGAUAAUGAUGAUGAUGAUGAUGAUAAUGAUGAUGAUAAUAAUGAUGAAUUAAAAAGUAGAAAAAACAAAGAUGAUUAUACUUCACAUGUAAGAUUUGAAAAAAGUAUAUAUAGUCUUCCUGUAAAAAAAAGUGUUUCAUCAAGUUCAGAAGAUAUUAAUGAUAAUAGUAUGCAAAAAUCAGCAAGUUCUAGCUCAUUUAGACCUGUACGUACUCGUAAACCUACAGGAUUUGUUAAAAUGGAUAUUAAAAAAUUACUUGCAGAUAUAGGUAGUGAUAUAGAAGAUGAUGAAGAAGGGAAUGAAAUAAAAAAUCGUGUAAGAUUUAAUGAAAAUGUAAUGACUACUACUGUUCCUUUAAAAAAAAAUGUAUCAUUUAGCUCUGUUGACGAUACUAGUGAUCGUGGUGAUGAUGAAAAAAAAAAAUCUAUUAAAGUAGGAAGAUCUGUAAGAACUCGAAAACCAACAGGAUUUGUUAAAAUGGACUUAACAAAAUUAUAUAAUAGUAUAUCAAGUACUGUGGAUAAUGAAGAAAAUGACGAUGACAUUGAAAAUGAAAAUCAAUUGAGUAAAAAACGUGAAGAUAGUGAUGAAACAGGUGAUGAAAAAAGUGACGAAAAAAGUGGAGAAACAAAACAGAGUGAAGAGAAGAGGAUAACAAAUGUAAAAACUAAAAAAAAUGUUUCAACUAGUUCGAUAAAAAAAAGUGUAUCUUUUAGUUCUUUUAGUUCAGAGGAUGGACAAUCUGUUUCUGUUGAAAACCAAACGAAUAAAAAAGCAUCAAGAGGUGUUAGAACAAGGAAACCAACAGGAUUUGUUAAAGCUGAUAUGAGUAAAUUUUUACAAAGUAUAGGAAGUUAUGAUGACGACGAUGAUGAUGAUGAUGAUGAUAAUAAUAACACUAAUAAAAAAAAUAAAGAAACUGAUGAUGGUGAUGAUUCAGAAGAUAUGAAUAUAUCAUUCAAAAAUGAAGAUAUUUCAACAAUAAGAAAAAAAAGUGUAUCUUUUAGUUCGGAAGAAGAACAUUUUUAUGUCGAAAAAGAUGGUACACACGGUAUGCGUAAAUUGCAAAACAAAAAUAAAAAAAAAGUAGGAUUUACAAGCAUAAGUAGUGAUAAUAGUGAGAAUAUGGAAGCACAUGAUAAAGAAAAUAAAACAAUAACGGAUGUAUAUAAAGAAAAAAAAAAAAAAAAAGGUAUAACUUUUAGUAAAAAUGUCGAAGAAGAUACUGAGAAUGAACCAUUUACAGAUAGUGAUACAAAUAUGCAAAAGGAAACACAUCACAGCGAAACAGAUACAGAUACAGAAAACAAAGAAGAUAAGCUUAGUAAAACGGAUUCGGAAAACGAAAGUGAUUUAGAUACUGAAACAGAUACGGAAAACAAAAAAGAUAAAUCAGAUGAUGAAUCUGGUGGGGAAUAUAUUAGUAGCGGAAAUAACAGUUCUAAUAAUAAAAGUGGAAAUAAAAAAAAUGGAAAUUAUGAAAAUUAUGAAUGUGGUAAUAAUGAUACAGAAACUAAUAAUGAUGAUAAAUAUGACAAUAAAAAUAUGGCGAGGGGAAAUAAAAAUAAUUAUAAUAAACAAAGUGAAAUAAAAAGUAAACAAAAUAUAAAAAAACAAAAAAAUAAUUCUAUUAAAAAUAGAUCAAUGAAAGAAUCAGUUGUAGAUAACAAUAAUAUACAUUUAUUGAGAGGAGCAAGAACAAAAAAAAAACGAAUGAAAAAAAAAUAUAAAAACCAAGUGGUAGAUGAGCAGGAAAGACAACUUCAUAUGAAAAUAAUUGGAUCUAAAAAGAUGAAACACGAAGAUAAGAUAUUAGAAAAGGAAGAACAAAAUAAGAAUGGACCAGAGACAAAUAACAAAUUUAAGAAUCCCAAGACAGUUCUUAUUAAUUUGGAAGAAAUAAAUGAAGAUGAAAUGGAUAUAAAAAUGAGUGAAUUAAACAAAUUAACAUGUUCACCUAAAGAAGGAGAUAAUCUGUUAUUUGCCAUCCCAAUGUGUGCACCAUAUUCUGCUAUUCAAAAUCAUAAAUAUAAAGUAAAAAUAAUUCCUGGAACUGCGAAAAAAGGGAAAGUUGCUGAUUGUUGUGUUGCUCACUUUUUAAAAAUUUCAAAUGAUGAUAAGGAAAAGGAUUUAAUUAAAAAGAUAUCGAUGGAUGAACUAGUAAAUUGUAUCAUCUCAAAUUCAACUGCAGACAUAAAAGAACUGAAAAUUGCUGCUAAAUCGAAUUUUAUGCAUAAAAGCAAAAAAAACAAAAAUAUUAAAUAACUAGGCACGAUGAGUUUUUAUACGUGACUUUUUUUUUGUCGUAUGCUUUUUAUAGGAUUUAUAAUAAAACAUUUUGUAUAUAUACA
ensembl:lncRNA